UUCCUGAAUAUUACUUUUUGUGUUUAGGAGCUUUAUAAGUAACAUGCUAAGUAAACACAUCUUGUCUAAAACAACCAAAUCAGAUUAAAACCACAUCACCACAUCAGUCUGAAACCACAUGAGUCUAAAACAGUCUAAAAGCACAUGAGUCUAAAACCACAUCAGUCUAAAACUACAUUAGUCUUAAACCACAUCAAUCUAAAACAACUACAUUAGUCUUAAACCACAUCAAUCUAAAACAACUACAUUAGUCUUAAACCACAGUAACCACAUCAGUAAAACAUGAGCCUCAUACAGUGACUCUCCAUGCUCUUGCCUCCACAUUUAGUAUCCCCUGCAUCUUCAGCUGUUCCCUCAGUCUCUUCAUGUCUCCAGUAUCACAGAGGUGCAGCCUUCCAUAUCCUUGCUCCCCCCAACUCUUUCCCCAGCUGUUACGGACAGUGAGAUGAUGAUCAAUUUCAUCUCCUGUCGCGUCAUAACCAGUAAUGACCAAGCAGUGCUCAUACAUCCCUCUUGCACAGGUUGGACAGUUGAAGGGCUUCUGCUUCAAUUUCUUGCAUUCAGGACACCAGAAUCUGGAUUCUCUCUUGAAUUCCUCAAGAGCAUCUUCAGCUCUGAACACCUCCCCUUUGUAUUGGCGCCUGAAUUCCUCAAUAGCUACUAUUUCUCCUAUGAGUGACUGGUCUUCACAGGCCUGAAGAAUUUUGUUUCUCCCAUUUAGUUGUUUAUAUGCCUGAAUCUUGAUGAAUCCAGGUUAACACCUCCAAGGGUGACUCUAUCUCAUUUGUGCAGGUUGACACCUCCAAGGGUUACUCUAUCUCAUUUGGGUGUCACCAUCUCAUUUGUGCCGGUUAACACCUCCAAGGGUGCGCAGGAUAAGCAGCAAAAGAUCUUCGGCUGUUUGAACCCUCUGUGAAGAUAUGCCUUUGAUUUUUGCUGAAGGUCGUAAUUAUGACAUUUACAGGGACGGUAUAACAUUCAUGGAUCCUUUAAAACACAUUCACUGGCAUUGAGAUAUCGUGGCAGGAUUCUGUUCCAGGGUAUCUCCCUGGAGGUUUAUAGGAUUUGGCAGCCUUAAAAGAAUGUGAUACUGAUCAGGUGGAACAUGAAUGGUGUUUCCAUAGAUUCCAUGGGAAGCAAAGGGCGAGUUUCAGGGCACGUCGUGGUAUAAAUUGGAUUGGAAAGGCAAGAUUAAUGAUGGCGUUCAACAUCCCAUAGAAGUUAAAACUGGCAGCAUCAGUGUUGGAUUUAGUCAACAGCAUGCCCAGCCAAUGUAGAUGUGAAAUUUUAGAGGACCUCUGAUCUUUAUGCUACCUAGUUCUCCAAAACCCUAAUUAACGACUUAUGAAGUUCAUUGUAGAUGUGAAAUUUUAGAGGACCUCUGAUCUUCAUGCUACCUAGUUCUCCAAAACCCUAAUUAAUGACGCAUAAUACAAACUACCAAUAAAAAAGGGAAACA